rnacentral:sRNA from 1 species
ACCUAAACCCGACCAUAGCGAGAUGCCCACAAUUUUUCAUUGUGGCAGAAGCGGGGGCGGGAACAAUU